GGGCUUGGGAGAAUCUGCUAGAAGCUCAGGCUAUCAGAGAAGCUGUAAAUCCUUGGAGAAAUCAUGAUGCAGAAGCAAAAAAGAAUUCAUAGUGCCACCAUUGUUGAGUUUGUACCUGGUAUGAUUUCUUCUCGAACGCUCUCAUUCAACAAGGAGAGAACUUUCUGUAAACCAUGCUCUUGAUGGAGAAGUUUGAUAACAUUCAAAACAAAUAGGUCUAGGUGGUGGAGCUAUUUUGCUCAACUCCUUUUAGUUAAUGUGUAAUCCAUGUAUUUAUGAGACAUUUUGGCAAUAGGUCUUAAUGCCUCUGGCUAUUAGACUUGUGCAUUGUAAUUGAUGGGAUGAUCACACAUUAGUUUAUUGGAUUAUGUUUUACUCCUUUUGCCCUUAUAAGUUGGCAAAGAGUACCUAAAAUUGGAUGACCAUAUGUACUGAUGCUGGAAGCUGUGAGUGAACUUUUAAACAACUGAGAUCGUGUUUUGGAUGCUUGAAUAUUGUCUGCAGUACGCCAGACACAUAUCUGCUCAUCGCUCCUCUGUCCUGGAAUGAAUUUGGAAUAUCCUGAAAUGUUUUGAGGCGAUUUUGUAUUUGGCUGCUUGGCAAUUAAUCUCCUGUUCAGUGAGUGAGAUUUCCUGUAUGUGAGUUUUGGAAAUUAUACGUUUUCUUGGCAUUGUUCAGUAUGCGCUUCCCUGAUCAUCGUCCAAUGGUCUGUUAAGAGUUGGCUGCUUGCUUGUCGCAUAUGGUGACAUGGAUUGCAUUCUUUUUUUUUUUUUUUGGGCUUCCAGAACUCAGUAUCUUUCAUGUGCUUUAUAGAUAUGAACGACCGGAGUUCGGACUCUGUCAUGUGCAUUUCUCUCCGCAGUUUUAUUUAUUUUGCGUGGUGUUGGAUUGGGAAUAUUCGUGUAGGAAAUUUUUUUAUGUCUGAAUGGCAAAUUUACUAUCAUUUACUACUGGGGCCGAAUUUUCCUCAAGAAUAUCAAAGCAGCGGUUCUAUGCAAUCAGGCUAGUAAACGUAAUUACUCAGGAAUGAAUAGUGAAGAGCUCGUUACUUUGUUGAGUUUCUUGUUCUUGUUAUUCUUUUUAACUCAAGCAAUUGUUUAGGUCAAGAAUGUGAUGCCUUUAGAUGAUUCAGAAUUAACACUUAAAGAACCAGGACUCACAGAAAAUUUCAUUUCGCAGCAUUGGUCAAUGACCAAUCUUAAUUGAGCUGAUAUGUAGACUUUAUUUGGUGUGCAAAAGCUGAUGAAUGGUGUAAUUUGAUUAUAUCCUAUCUCUCACAUAAUGACCAAUCUUAAUUGAGCUGAUAUGUAGACUUUAUUUGAUGUGCAAAAGCUGAUGAAUGGUAUAAUUUGAUUAUAUCCUAUCACCUCACAAAUGUGAGAAAAGUUGUGACGAAAAAGGGUUUUGAUUAGAUAAUGUGAUUACAUCCUAUCACUAUUCUUUCACAUUCAGAUCGAUUUAAAAUUGUCUCUUUUCUACUAAUCAUGUGAAGCAACUAGUGUGUUGCAAGAAGAGAAUUUAUGAUUAGAUGCUACUGAUCAUUCGGAUAGCCGGCUUCUGGGGCAAGGAAGUUUGCUUAAGAGGGGAGAAAUAGGAAGGUCGCUAUAAUUAUUUAAUGUGAGGUUAUGCUAUUUUGUGGAAAGAGUAAGAUCAAAAUCAAUCAAAGUGACAUUAUGGACUUGCCUUUGCUGCUUAAUCGUACAUAGCCCCAAUAGUUUGUGACAAAAUUUGCCUGUAUCGCUUCUGUCAAUCUUAUACAAUUAGCAUCUUCUAAUCUACGACAACUUAGUCCGAUGUUUUGCGUUGAAUAGCGGCAACAUACGCUUUACUUGGGAUACUUGGUGAGUACACUCGUGGCUGAAAUGCCAUUAUCACGUGUUGCCUAUUGAGCGUUUUGGGCUAGGCAGAAACAGUUGGAAAACCUGCGGGAUCGACAUCUGAUAUAGUGUCUGGAUUGUUCAAGUAUGACUAAGCCAUCUCGCGGUUCAUAAUUGCAAUUUAGAAUCGAAAACUAAGUGGUAAUCCCAUCUUUUUAGCCAUUGAACAACUUGAGUCCUGUCAUAUGUCCCGAUCCCUGAAUCUUUUGGGAGCCAUUGAAUCCAAAGGAGAGGGUCUGAAGAACCAAAGAGGGACAAGUUAACAAAAGCAACUUUAUUUGUACGAGAUUUCGACAAAACACAAAUUAGCUUGAUCAGUGGCUAAGUAGCAUCGACACACAACAGUCUUAUUAUAACUUCAUGACGGUGUUUAAUUGAAAAAGCGAACGGGAUUAUCCUUCACCAUCGUGCUCCGACGAAGAAACAUGUUAAAGAGAAGACCUCUCUCCGAGGGACGUGUACACGUGGUGCGUUUAACAAGAAUUAGCUUCGACCAAGCCCUGAGCUGCUGCGCUCAUCACAUUGAGGAGCCCCUCGCCAGCCAUGGUAUUAUAAUCGGUAGGUCUCUCGCGCCCUCAGAAUCGUGCCCGCAUGACAUAACCAUUUUUCAGUUGAUCAACGUGGUCCGGAUACGAGGACAACCGGCCAUCAGAUUCAGGAUAGCACCUGAUCGCAACUGAUUUUUUUUCUAUGGAACUUUGUUAUUAGUGAUCAAAGAGAAAAAAGCACAAGAUAGCUAUACUGGGUUUUCUCUGCAGUAAGCCAAAAAGAAUGUGAAGUAGAUUUGGAGGGGAAACUAAAUCAAGAACGAUGCCAAGAGAACAUAUAAAUUCCAGAAUCUGCAUACAGGAAAAUCUCACUCGCCGAGCGGGAAAUUAAUUGCCGAGCAGCCAAAGACAGAAAUUGCAUCAGCACAUUUCAGGAUGUUCCAAAUUCAUUCCAGGACAGAGAUGGCAGACGCACAGAUGCAGUCUGGCGUAAUUUUAAAUUUUAUUUUUCCUGCAGACAAAGUUCAAGCAUCAAGAAUACGAUCUGUGUGUUUAGAAGUUCACAUCUUCAUCUCACACUCAUCCAGCUUACAGUAUCAUGUAUAGUUGUCCGAGUUUAAAUGCUCUUUGCCGACAUAUAAAGGCAAAAAAGAUUAAAUAAAUUCAAAUAAAACUAAUGUUUGAUCAUCCUGUCAAUCACCCCUCGGUCAUUCAAAAAGAAAGCCACAAAUUGGGCGAACGUAAUGGUCAAAAUAAGCUUGUGCACCAGAAAGGCUGACCACCAGUAGUACCACAAUGUCUAAUAGCCAGAAUUCUUAAGACCCGUUGCCAAAAUGUUGCAUGAAAAACUUCGUUUGCACACUAAAGCAGUUAACCAAGAUUACUCAACCACGUAGAUGUAUUUUUUCUAUAUGUUAUCAGACUUUUUCAUCAAGAACAUCGUUGAACGAAAGGUCUAGUGAUGUGCAACAAGAGCAGUCGAGAAAAAAAUCAUACCAGGAAUAACUCAACAAUGGCAGCACUAUGAGUUCUUUUUGCUUUCUGCAUCACGAUUCCUCCAAGGAUUCAGAGCUUCUCUGACAGCCUGAGCUUCCGGCGAAUUCUCCCAAGCCCGCUUCUCUGACUCCAAUUCGGUCACUUUAUCAUCUGCAACAUACAACCAGAUUAAUAUUUCUUGGUUAAUACAGAAAGACAGACCCUUUGGUAGUAAAAUAAGCAACCAAUGGCAUGGGAAAGAAUCUGAUAAUCUUCGUCAUGAAGAUGCUCACGAGAGUAUAGGUAGUUAUGAAGGCAAGGCAACCAAACAACAUUCUCACAAUCUUUAGUCUAUACCAAAGUCCAUUCAGAAAGAUGCAAGUGAUGAAAGCUCAUCAGUCUUCAAUAAGAUCACAAAGGAACUGCAAUUUCAACGGGACUACAAAUCACUUCAUCUAAUUGUGUUCCUACAGAAAUUUUUACUCUUUGAUUAUACCCUGAAAGAUAUGAAAUAGCUGCAGAACAAUCCGCUUAAUGUUUUCCCGAGAUGUGCAUCACAGUCAUAAGUUCAAUUUUAAAACCAGUCUCCUCAACGACUUUUCAGAAGUUUCUCCCACAGAAGGUAUCAAUGAACAGAUGAUUAGCUGCACAAGCCAUCUAUUCUCCACAGACUGGAACACUUCGCAUUCAUAGGUAUCGCCAUUCAUCACCUGAGACAACAUUUUUUCGCAUCAUGCUUUUCGUGUAGAACAAUGAGAAUGUUCAGUUCAUCGGCAUAACACGACGGUCCAAAUCAAAGCCCUCCUCUUUCACAAGCAAGCGACUGCAACAUACCAAGCGACUACGACAUACCACUGAAAUCAUGAAUUUCCGUCCUACCCCCAACUUCAGUCACAAAGGAACUGACUAAACGAUGCUUUUCUCAUCCGAAGAGACGAAUUUGAACACGACCCAUCACCGUAAAAUCCACUCCCAUUCGACUAACGCAAUAGCUGUCGCACUAGCAUCGCUCGCGAGCUCUAAAGCAAGGUUCAUUAGAUAAAAAUUGACUCCAACUGCUUAAUAGUGCCUAAAAACCAUCCAUUUCGAAGUUAUCUCGCGCCAUUUUCUUUUGGGGUACGAGCUACCCAAAAGAGAAGCGGUAAAAGUCGAAACGAAAGGAAUUGGCAGGAACGGGCGAAGGCGGAGCAAGAAAGGGAUGGAGUGUCCUCACACAGAAGCCGGUCUUGAUCAUGAACAACUCCAUGGAGCCUCCGACGAGGGCCGAGAAGACCCCGAUCUUCACGUACCAAUCAAGAAACUUCACCGCCAUAUCGAAAGUUGCCGCUCAAGCUUCCGCGGCAGCGGCUGGAAGACGGGAAAACGAAAGAAGGGUCUGUAAGAAAGAGGAGAAGGAAUAGGUAACUUCACGUGGAGAGAGGAGAUCCAUCGAGGCCCAUCAUCGGCCAACGCAGCCCGAACAUUUCCCCUCUAAAGAAAGCUUUUUUAGCUGUUGGGUCCAAGAAACUUGGGCCUUUGGCCACUUUUAGUGCUGCUCGUUGCAUCAAGAUACAAUCUUUUCGUCUUCUCUUCUCGUUGCGUAAACGAGGGCGGAUGCUUUGUUACAGAGUGCGUUUGGUUCAGCAUUUUGAAAGCUCGGAGAAAUACAAAACAGUUUAGCCUAAGGGGCUUUGGACAAAUACAAAGACUAUUUGGUAAAUUACGCUUUGAAAAGCAACUUUGAAACAAAUGCUGUUUGGUAAAAAAACACAUUUAGAAAGCCCAUUUGAGUGAUUAAUAUUAGCUUUUUAGUUUUUAUAUGUUUAAAAUUGACAAAAAUAAUGCAUGCAACUUCUUUUAAUUUGAAUUUUGACGACAGUGCUAAAAAAUAUCAAAUGGAAAAAAUUCACAUCAAAGUUGUCUCUUUCUUAAUUUAAAAAAAAAAAAAACCUUUAUUAUAAUAAACGGAAUAACAUCUGCCCCGAGGAAAUAAAUUUAUUAUUCUUUAAAAUUACAAACAUCCUUAAAUAUUUCCUAAACUUAGAGCCAUUUGAUCAAGCUAGAAUACUAUGUACAACAAACCUUGAUACAACACAGUUUCUCAAAUAUCUAUUCUCUGUUUACAUGCAAAGUCUACAUAAAAGUUCAAAUGCUCCUAUCAUAGAUAGAAUUAAAGGUCAUUGUAGCACAUAAGCUGCCAUGUUUUUUGACCACAAAGAUGACUUGUCUGGCCUGCUUGACUCCCCAGAUGAAGUGGAGGAUGAAUCCUUUGAGUGACCUUUGAGACCUUCAUCAGCAAUUAGAUCCAUCAAUUUUGAAAGUGACAAGGUGUCGAUAUUUCACUAUCAUUAACCUCAGCUAAGCUCAUUAGCAUCUUCACGACAGUCAACAUGGAUGUUUGAAGCCCUGGUAUACCCUGUGUUCAGAGAAGACCAAUCUUCAUGAAUAGGCAUGCCUCUUACCUAUGAUGUUCCCCAUCCAGAGAUGUAUCACUAAGAUCAUUAGCUCCCCUUUCUUGUGCAACUUCCAUGCCCAUAACACAUUGUACAUGUAGAUCAAGAGAUACAAGCAUUUGCAGCAUCACAACUGAACUUCUAAGCCAACAAGAGCAAGAAAGUCUCCAAACCCCAAGCCUAUCUGUCCACAUAAUCCCCCGUUAAACACAUAACCGAUUUUCACAAGAAAGACCCUCCUUAACAGGAACAAAACACUGUGAAGUUGCCCAUGAACAUCCAGGUUGCAUAACAUAACACAAAAUUGACAUGUAUUCUUUAUACCCAUUCAUUGCCCACUCAUUCUAGCAAGUAUCAGCUAUAUGAAUAAACAUCCAUGUUGCAAAACAGAACACAAAAAACCAGUGCAUAACUCGUAACUGGCACGUAUGACUUUGAUAGCAAAAAAUUUGUUGCAACAUAAUACAAACUGGGAUGCUAGAUUAAGCAUACAUAUAGCACCAAAUAAGGAGCAGAUCAGGGCAUCAACAAAUUUGGGCAGCAUGAGUUAAAGAACCUACUGUAAACAGGUGAAUGAACACCCCAAAGCAGGAAUGGGAUUAUGAUGGAUAGCAAUUAAAUGAAGUUCCAUAAGGUCAUUCCGCAUCCACGCAUCACUCAAUGCACUCACCCCUCCAGUCAAACUCUCCAGGAACUCAAUCUUCUUCUCGAUCGAGAGCCCCCGAGACUUGGCAUUCUCGCCUGGUGGGGAUAUCAAACAGAACAAAGAGAGAGAGACAACAGUCAGCAAAAAAUGCCGCGCCGACAUCGACCCCAGCGACGACCCCGACCCCGAUCCCGACGACGCCGUUGACGAGACCGACGCGCGCGUCGGAUCCUCGACGCCGGCGUGGCCUGGAUCCUCCGCGGUGCCAUACACAAGCGCGAGGUGGAAGCUCUCGGACGUCCGGUUCCAUCCCAUCCAAGACAUUCCCGAUCGGGGAUCCGCCGACCUCGCGCGCCGCUCACCGGCCUCUCACCGGCCUCUCGGUCGAUCGAUCGCGGCGGUCGUCUUCGUCGGCGGCGGAUCGGAGGAUGGCAGUCGAGCUCGCAGUGAGAGAGCGAUGGGGAAGGGUGGAGAGAGAAGGCGAUCUGGGGUUUUAGUUUCGAAAUGGGUAAAAUUGGUUUUUCAAUAAAGCUUUGAAGGUAAAAUAGGUAACCUACUAAUUUUCAUCAAAUGAACCCUUCAUCCUUCCGAAAAGCUUUGAGUAUUCCAAUUGCUGGCUUUCAUUUGAAAGCUCUUUGGGGAUGAUUGUCAAACGCCCCAAAUCUUCUCUAAUGGGCUUUGGGGCUCCAAGGGGCUUUUUAAAUGUCGAACCAAACGCACCCUGGAACUUCGUCUCGUGCAGUUCUGCUGCAUGUCGUGCUGUGGAUGGCUAGGAAUCAUACCUUCUAAGGGAGAAACCGAUACGGCAAAAGCUCGUCACGGCAUGCAUAUGCUCUUCUAGGAGUAUUUCCACCUGGCAAUGAUAUUCGAUGCUCGAUCUGAUCUACAUUUAGGACAGAGGUUCGAGCUCGGCGAUUCUGGAACUGCUUGAGUUUUGGCAAAUUUCACUGAGCGCUUCUCAGCAACUAGCAAGCAGAGUCUAUGUCUAUCUUGAAGGUGAUAGCUUCUCUGUUAUUGAGCCUCUGACCAAUCUGGAAACACCUCCAUUCUUGAACUCGGUCAAAUCGAGAAGCUCUCAGCAA
rnacentral:lncRNA from 1 species